rnacentral:rRNA from 1 species
UUAAUUGAAGAGUUUGAUCAUGGCUCAGAUUGAACGCUGGCGGCAGGCCUAACACAUGCAAGUCGAGCGGCAGCGACUUAACUGAACCUUCGGGGAACGUUAAGGGCGGCGAGCGGCGGACGGGUGAGUAAUGCCUGGGAAUAUGCCCUGAUGUGGGGGAUAACUAUUGGAAACGAUAGCUAAUACCGCAUAAUCUCUUCGGAGCAAAGAGGGGGACCUUCGGGCCUCUCGCGUCAGGAUUAGCCUAGGUGGGAUUAGCUUGUUGGUGAGGUAAUGGCUCACCAAGGCAACGAUCCCUAGCUGGUCUGAGAGGAUGAUCAGCCACACUGGAACUGAGACACGGUCCAGACUCCUACGG